GAUGAACGCUGGCGGCGUGCCUAAUACAUGCAAGUCGAGCGAACGGACGAGAAGCUUGCUUCUCUGAUGUUAGCGGCGGACGGGUGAGUAACACGUGGAUAACCUACCUAUAAGACUGGGAUAACUUCGGGAAACCGGAGCUAAUACCGGAUAAUAUUUUGAACCGCAUGGUUCAAAAGUGAAAGACGGUCUUGCUGUCACUUAUAGAUGGAUCCGCGCUGCAUUAGCUAGUUGGUAAGGUAACGGCUUACCAAGGCAACGAUGCAUAGCCGACCUGAGAGGGGGAUCGGCCACACCGGAACCGAUGCACGGUCCAGACUCCUACGGGAGGCAGCAGUAGGGAAUUUUCCUCCAUGGGCGAAAGGCUGACGGAGCAACGCCGCGUGAGUGAUGAAGGUCUUCUGAUCGUAAACCUCUGUUAUUAGGGAAGAACAUAUGUGUAAGUAACUGUGCACAUCUUGACGGUACCUAAUCAGAAAGCCACGGCUAACUACGUG
rnacentral:rRNA from 1 species